rnacentral:rRNA from 1 species
AACGAACGCUGGCGGCGUGCCUAACACAUGCAAGUCGAACGAGAAAGGGGCUUCGGCUCCGAGUAAAGUGGCGCACGGGUGAGUAACACGUGGGUAACCUGCCUCUAAGAUUGGGAUAACUCGUCGAAAGAUGAGCUAAUACCGAAUAAGACCACAGUUCCCGCGGGAACAGGGGUCAAAGGUAGCCUCUGCUUGCAAGCUAUCACUUAGAGACGGGCCUGCGCACCAUUAGCUAGUUGGUAGGGUAACGGCCUACCAAGGCAAAGAUGGUUAGCUGGUCUGAGAGGAUGAUCAGCCACACUGGAACUGAGACACGGUCCAGACUCCUACGGGAGGCAGCAGUGGGGAAUAUUGCGCAAUGGGCGAAAGCUUGACGCAGCAACGCCGCGUGAGUGAUGAAGGCCUUCGGGUCGUAAAGCUCUGUCGGGAGGAACGAAUGCUCCUGAGGUUAACAGCCUCGGGAGGUGACGGUACCUUCAAAGGAAGCACCGGCUAACUCUGUG